rnacentral:tRNA from 1 species
GCGGAAGUAGCUCAGUGGUAGAGCAUCGCCUUGCCAAGGCGAGGGUCGCGGGUUCGAGUCCCGUUUUCCGCUCCA